CUAGAAACUCCAAGGAAAGGAUUUUAGCAGGCAGAAGGCAGAGGAGGAACAGUUUGGAAGGGACAACUGCUAGAGUGAGUGACUUCCUGUAGGAGGCUUGGUUCUUCCUGUCUGGAAGGGUGGAGGAAAGGCGGCUUGUUAGAGCUUAGCUACCUCAACCUGACUGUGGAGAAGGAGAAACCCCUACAUCAUCUUUGGAGGUACUCUGUUCAACUGGGGAACAUCUAGAAAAGGAUCUGACCAUACCUGCUGUGCUUUCCAGAAGGUAUGUGUUUGAUGAACUAUUAUUAAAUGAUCAUGAGGAAUUAUGGGGUUUAGGAGACAUGCCCAGCAACUGGAAAAAAGGUGAAAGUCAAGAUAUUGCCCUUGUAAUAUCUUGGUCCUCUUUGAAAAUGAAGGAUGAAUAGCAGCUAGAAGUUGGAUUCUUCAAACAACAGGUUUGCAAUUUUUUUUUGAAAAUUUUAUUUAAUUAGUCAAUUUAGAACAUUUUUCCUUGGUUACAAGAAUCAUAUUCGUUUCCUUCCCUCCCUCACCUCUUCCCAUAGCUGAUGCACAAUUCCACUGGGUUUUAUAUGUGUCCUUGAUCAAAACCUAUUUCCAUGGCAUUGAUGUGUACACUAGGAUGAUCAUUUUGAGUCUACAUUCCCAAUCAUAUCCCCCUUGACCCAUGUGAUCAAGCAGUUGUUUUUCUUCGGUAUUUCUAC
rnacentral:lncRNA from 1 species